rnacentral:rRNA from 1 species
ACUGCUCAGUAACACGUGGAUAACCUGCCCUUGGGACCGGCAUAACCCCGGGAAACUGGGGAUAAUUCCGGAUACCGCAUAUAUGCUGGAAUGCUUUAUGCGUGAAAUGGAUUCGUCUGCCCAAGGAUGGGUCUGCGGCCUAUCAGGUAGUAGUGGGUGUAAUGUACCUACUAGCCAACGACGGGUACGGGUUGUGAGAGCAAGAGCCCGGAGAUGGAUUCUGAGACAUGAAUCCAGGCCCUACGGGGCGCAGCAGGCGCGAAAACUUUACAAUGCGGGAAACCGUGAUAAGGGGACACCGAGUGCCAGCAACAUUUGUUGGCUGUCCAGGUGUGUAAACUACACCUGUUAGCAAGGGCCGGGCAAGACCGGUGCCAGCCGCCGCGGUAACACCGGCGGCCCGAGUGGUGAUCGUGAUUAUUGGGUCUAAAGGGUCCGUAGCCGGUUUGGUCAGUCCUCCGGGAAAUCUGACGGCUUAACCGUUAGGCUUUCGGGGGAUACUGCCAGGCUUGGAACCGGGAGAGGUAAGAGGUACUACAGGGGUAGGAGUGAAAUCUUGUAAUCCCUGUGGGACCACCUGUGGCGAAGGCGUCUUACCAGAACGGGUUCGACGGUGAGGGACGAAAGCUGGGGGCACGAACCGGAUUAGAUACCCGGGUAGUCCCAGCCGUAAACGAUGCUCGCUAGGUGUCAGGCAUGGCGCGACCGUGUCUGGUGCCGCAGGGAAGCCGUGAAGCGAGCCACCUGGGAAGUACGGCCGCAAGGCUGAAACUUAAAGGAAUUGGCGGGGGAGCACAACAACGGGUGGAGCCUGCGGUUUAAUUGGAGUCAACGCCGGA